rnacentral:lncRNA from 1 species
AGAGAAGAAGACAUUCAGGGAGACACCAAGCCAGGGAGGUGACAAGUAUGUGGUAAAAUCCGAGCACGCAGAAUUUGGGGGAACAGGACUCUAGACUGCCUCUAGAGAGAGCUGUAUUGAAGGCCCUGCGACCCAGCACAGAGAAGGGAAUGGUGCUCUAGGUCCCUGCCUCUGCAGAAGACAAAUCCAGGAAGAGAACCAGGAAACUGCAGAGUAGCCAGCCACAUGCGAGAAAAAUCUGAAGGAGACGAAAAUGUUUCAGGAGAAAGAGGUAUAAUUUGCAGUGAAGUGCACAAAUCAGUGAAAUUUUACGUAUGCAACCUUUAUCACUCACCACCCAAACCAGAGUGGUGUCUUCCCAACACCCCAGGGCCUCUAGUCCUUUUCCAGCGUUGCCUGAAGACACAAACUACUGAUGGCUGCAUCCACAUGACUGACUUCAAACACAGCACGCUGCAGGAGAAAAGCCGGAUACGCGCGUGGAAAGUGGGUGGCUCCACCACCCUGCUGUUCAGGUUUUCUUUCUGAAAGUUCUUUUGGCUUUAUUAUGGAAUAGAGGUUACAGAAAGGCAAAAGCUUUGGCCGUAGCGGGUGGGAAGAUCUUCCUUACCCUGGAGGAGGAAGUAGGGUCUCCGUAAUGUAUGUGUGGUACUCAGGGCUCCCGGCAGCCCGAAGCCAGAGUGUGUCCUCACCCUGCCCCGGGUCAGCCCUGUGACCUGGAGGGAGCAACUGAAAAGCUCUGGGCCUCGGAUUCCUCAUCUGUGAAAUGGGGAUGCUAACAGUGCUACCUCCUCUGGUUGGUUUGUGGCAGAGGACACAUGAGGCAACCUGUGUAAAAUGCUUGGAGGGUGGCCAGUGUGGUUACCAUGGAGAUUGACUGGUACCGUCUUCCACAUCCUGUGUUGACUAAGCGCGCACACCAGAAUACAGUUCCAAACGAUUAUCAAACAUGAAUACAAUUCAGAAAAUAAACAUGCAGCAAAACUUGCCAUAAAGAUUGCAUGAAACUAUCACUUUAAGAAAAAUACAUUAAAAAUUACCUUAAAUACCGAAAAGUACUUUUGUAAGUAAGGAUCAGUCCAAUAAAUUUAACCUGUAUUUGAAUCAGUGUAAAACAACUUGGUUUAUAAUUUUGUCUUCAUCGAGUGGGGGUGACUUUUGUAGCUUCUGUCACUGCUGCCUGGAGUAUAGAAUUAAACACCUUUUUGCAGAAAAA